rnacentral:rRNA from 1 species
AUCAUAAUAACUUAACGAAUCGCAUGGCCUUGCGCCGGCGAUGGUUCAUUCAAAUUUCUGCCCUAUCAACUUUCGAUGGUAGGAUAGUGGCCUACCAUGGUGGCAACGGGUAACGGGGAAUUAGGGUUCGAUUCCGGAGAGGGAGCCUGAGAAACGGCUACCACAUCCAAGGAAGGCAGCAGGCGCGCAAAUUACCCAAUCCCGAUACGGGGAGGUAGUGACAAUAAAUACUGAUACGGGGCUCUUUCGGGUCUCGUAAUUGGAAUGAGAACAAUUUAAAUCCCUUAACGAGGAACAAUUGGAGGGCAAGUCUGGUGCCAGCAGCCGCGGUAAUUCCAGCUCCAAUAGCGUAUAUUAAAGUUGUUGCAGUUAAAAAGCUCGUAGUUGAACCUUGGGCCUGGCUGGCCGGUCCGCCUCACCGCGAGUACUGGUCCGGCUGGGCCUUUCCUUCUGGGGAACCUCAUGGCCUUCACUGGCUGUGGGGGGAACCA